ACGGGUGCGUAACACGUGGGCAACAUGCCCUUGGAUGGGGAAUAACCCCGCGAAAGCGGGGCUAAUACCGCAUAACAUUCCUGGAACCUUGGUUUCGGGACUCAAAGCCGUAAGGCGUCCGAGGUGGAGCCCGCGCCCGAUUAGUUAGUUGGCGAGGUAACGGCUCACCAAGACUUUGAUCGGUAGCCGGUCUGAGAGGAUGGCCGGCCACACUGGAACUGAGACACGGUCCAGACUCCUACGGGAGGCAGCAGUGGGGAAUCUUGCGCAAUGGGCGAAAGCCUGACGCAGCGACGCCGCGUGGGGGAUGAAGCUUUUCGGAGUGUAAACCCCUUUCGACCGGGACGAAUGCCUCGCAAGAGGAGUGACGGUACCGGUAUAAGAAGCCCCGGCUAACUACGUGCCAGCAGCCGCGG
rnacentral:rRNA from 1 species